GACGUAGGGCGCGAGCGUUGUCCGGAUUUAUUGGGCGUAAAGAGCUCGUAGGCGGUUUGUCGCGUCGGGAGUGAAAUCCACUGGCUUAACUGGUGGCUUGCUUUCGAUACGGGCAGACUGGAGGUAUGCAGGGGAGAACGGAAUUCCUGGUGUAGCGGUGAAAUGCGCAGAUAUCGGGAAGAACACCCGUGGCGAAGGCGGCUCUCUGGGACGGUACUGACGCUGAGACGCGAAAGCGUGGGGAGCGAACAGG
rnacentral:rRNA from 1 species